rnacentral:lncRNA from 1 species
AUACAGAUCAUGGAAAGGGAGUCGCGAGUUAGAUUCCUUCCAACUUUGUGCAGUGCUAGAGGAGUACGUCCUACAGGCAGUUUUGGGGUAUUUAUGUAUAUAUUGUUGUUGUCUGGGUACUCGCUGGAGCGAGUGGUGUAGUAGACAUGUGUAUGUAUUGGAACCCCUCGAGGUUUUAUUUAAAUAUGUUUACAGUUCUGUUAGCAGCUCUAUAUUUCUAGUUGUAGUUUUGUAUGAUUAUAGGUAUAGGUAUAGCUAUCACUUCGUAUAUAGGAAAAAUUCCUUUGUAUACGGCGGAUUUGUCGGCGUGGCCGAAAAAAUGUGUAAUCCGGGACGUGACAUUAACGGUGUAAAACAAUCCAAAUCUAAUAAAAUUUUUAUAGAAAAUUCUUUUCACUAUUUAGAGUAAAAUCAGCAUCUCUUAUCUUAAAUUCAAGUCGUUUAUCAUCAUUUUUUAUGAGAUUUUUAUUUUCAGCUGUUCAUUUUUAGACUGCUCGUUUGAUAGAUAAAUAAUACCGAAAAAUUAUGAAAUUUAGUUUUCAAAUACUUUCAAUAGUGUAGAUUAAGUUUAACGGAGUAGAUCGUCGAUUUGAAUGCUGCAUCAUUAAAAACAACUUGGUAGCACGGGGGCCUCCGUGCCACCGAUAGUAUAUUAGUCUGGCUCUAUAUAUAUAAAUUUAUGAAUAAUAUUAAAAAAAAUUCUAAUAUUUUCUGUUAUUAUCGGCGUAGAAUUUAUAAAUAAAAAAAUAUAAAAAAAUUAAUUCGAAUGAAAA